GGGUGCGAUCAUACCAGCACUAAAGCACCGGAUCCCAUCAGAACUCUGCAGUUAAGCGUGCUUGGGCGAGAGUAGUACUGGGAUGGGUGACCUCCUGGGAAGUCCUCGUGUUGCACCCC
rnacentral:rRNA from 1 species